GGGGCUAUGGCUCAGUGGUAGAGUGCUUGCCUAGCAUGCAUGAGGCCUUGGUUUGGUCCCC
rnacentral:tRNA from 1 species